rnacentral:rRNA from 1 species
GAUGAACGCUAGCGGCGGGCUUAAUACAUGCAAGUCAAGGGGUAGCAAUACACCGGCGUACGGGUGCGUAACGCGUAUGGAACCUGCCCUUAUCUGGGGGAUAACUCGGGGAAACUCGAGCUAAUACCGCAUAAGAUAGUAGAGAGGCAUCUCUUAGCUAUUAAAGAUUUAUCGGAUAAGGAUGGCCAUGCGUAAGAUUAGAUAGUUGGCGAGGUAACGGCUCACCAAGUCUACGAUCUUUAGGGGCUCUGAGAGGAGAAUCCCCCACACUGGCACUGGGAUACGGGCCAGACUCCUACGGGAGGCAGCAGUAGGGAAUAUUGGGCAAUGGGCGGAAGCCUGACCCAGCCACGCCGCGUGCAGGAAGACGGCCCUCUGGGUUGUAAACUGCUUUUAACUGGGAAGAAAGCAGCUCAUGCGUGAGAAUUUGACGGUACCAGUUGAAUAAGCCACGGCUAACUACGUGCCAGCCGCCGCAGUAA